CAACAAAAAAAUUAUAAAACUUGGAACUUUUACCCCCCAACUGUGAUGUGAUUUUCUAUCAAAAACAAGAGUGUUUACGUGAAAUAUCUGAGUGCAUUGGUAUAUGUAUUCUUUUGCAGGUAACAUGGAUGAUGUCAGGGACGGGAACUCGGAUAUGUGUGGAUGUUGAAGAGACAAACCUCUUUAGAGUUUAAGAGGGUUUUUCUUCUAAUUUCAUCUUUGAUUUGAUUCUAUUUUUUGAUAGAUUUUGUUUUAACAUUCAUGUCAUGUCUCUGCCUCUCAUCCUAUAUGUAACUUAAAAUAAAAUAACUUUUAUUUUAUUGA
rnacentral:lncRNA from 1 species